AGAAGGAGUCUCCAGUGUCAGCACUUUUGAACAGUCAGUAAGUUUUCCUCCACUGGAAAGUCUUGAGAGCAGAGGGCUUUGUGCUUUCUGGUUUCUUUGUAACAUGACAAGCUGUGGUUUUCUUGUCAAAUAACUUCGAGAGGGAAAAAAAGGCUGUUAUGAUUGAGGUCACAAGCCUGCAAGGUGCUGUCCUUGCCUUCCUGUCUGUCUCCACCGUGAGCUUCAUCUGUGCUCUCUGCAUACGCUGUAGGAAGAAAACUAUGAUUGUACAGGAGAGUAACCAACUCUAUGUUCCACAAAUAUUGAUGAACUCGUGUUAACACAUCUGGUGUUAAGCAUGUAAUUGCAUGUCCAUCACAACCUUGAGACAGCUUUCUGAUCCAGCCAUGAGAAUGCUUUCAAUACGUUGAAAAGUUCUGGAAGUCAUUUAGAUAGAAAGUGUUCAUUUCCCCUAUGUAUGGA
ensembl:lncRNA